rnacentral:rRNA from 1 species
CCUACGGGUGGCAGCAGUGAGGAAUAUUGGUCAAUGGGGGAAACCCUGAACCAGCAACGCCGCGUGAGGGAAGACGGUUUUCGGAUUGUAAACCUCUGUCCUCUGUGACGAUAAUGACGGUAGCAGAGGUGGAAGCUCCGGCUAACUACGUGCCAGCAGCCGCGGUAAUACGUAGGGCGCAAGCGUUGGCCGGAUUUACGGGGUGUAAAGGGUGAGUAGGCUGCCCUGCAAGUUAGACGUGAAAUCCAUGGGCUUAAGCUGUGAACGGCUUUUGAGACUGUAGGGCUUGAGUGCAGUAGAGGCAGGUGGAAGUCCAGGUGUAGCAGUGAAAUGCGUAGAGAUAUGGAAGAACACAAGUGGCGGAGGCAGCCUGCUGGG